rnacentral:rRNA from 1 species
UUCCGGUUGAUCCUGCCAGACCUGACUGCUAUCGGAUUGAUACUAAGCCAUGUGAGUCGUUGUAGCAAUACAAGGCGUACGGCUCAGUAACACGUAGUCAAUCUAACCUAUGGACGGGGAUAACCUCGGGAAACUGAGGAUAAAACCCGAUAGAUCAUAAUUCCUGGAACGGUUUAUGGUCCAAACGAUUCGUUGCCGUAGGAUGGGACUGCGGCCUAUCAGCUUGUUGGUGAGGUAAUGGCCCACCAAGGCUAUUACAGGUACGGGCCCCUGAGAGGAGAAGCCCGGAGAUGGGUACUGAGACACGGACCCAGGCCCUAUGGGGCGCAGCAGGCGAGAAAACUUUGCAAUGUGCGCAAGCACGAUAAGGUUAAUCCGAGUGUUUCCUGCUUAAGGAAUCUUUUGUUAGUUGUAAAACCACUAUCGAAUAAGGGGUGGGCAAGUUCUGGUGUCAGCCGCCGCGGUAAAACCAGCACCUCAAGUGGUCAGGAGGAUUAUUGGGCCUAAAGCAUCCGUAGCCUGUUCUAUAAGUUUCCGGUUAAAUCCAUUAGCUCAACUAAUGGGCCGCCGAAAAUACUGUAGAACUAGGGAGUGGGAGAGGUAGACGGUAUUCGGUAGGAAAGGGGGUUAAAAUCCUUUGAUCUAUUGAGGACCACCUGUGGCGAAGGCGGUCUACCAGAACACGUUCGACGGUGAGGGAUGAAAGCUGGGGGAGCAAACCGGAUUAGAUACCCGGGUAGUCCCAGCUGUAAACUAUGCAAACUCAGUGAUGCAUUGGCUUGUGGCCAAUGCAGUGUUGCAGGGAAGCCGUUAAGUUUGCCGCCUGGGAAGUACGUACGCAAGUAUAAAACUUAAAGGAAUUGGCGGGGGAGCAC